rnacentral:rRNA from 1 species
ACGGAGUGCCCAUGACAGAGGAUUCGUCCAAUGGAUUGGGUUACUUAGUGGCGGACGGGUGAGUAACGCGUGAGGAACCUGCCUCGGAGUGGGGAAUAACACAACGAAAGCUGUGCUAAUACCGCAUGAUACAGUUGAGUCGCAUGACUCUGACUGUCAAAGAUUUAUCGCUCUGAGAUGGCCUCGCGUCUGAUUAGCUAGUUGGUGGGGUAACGGCCCACCAAGGCGACGAUCAGUAGCCGGACUGAGAGGUUGACCGGCCACAUUGGGACUGAGACACGGCCCAGACUCCUACGGGAGGCAGCAGUGGGGAAUAUUGGGCAAUGGGCGCAAGCCUGACCCAGCAACGCCGCGUGAAGGAAGAAGGCUUUCGGGUUGUAAA